UUCCUUCCAAUAUUGACCAGAUGAUGCCCAAUUUGAAUUCUUUGUAUCUUUCUGAGAAUCAUUUGAAUGGCAAUAUUCCUCGCUCUAUCUGUAACAUGCAGCAAUUGCAAGAAUUGUCUCUUUUUGAGAAUCAUUUGAAUGGCACUAUUCCUCCCUUUGUUUACAACAUGAAGCAGUUGCAAAUCUUGUCUCUAAGGAGCAAUCAAUUUCACGGAGAAUUUCGUCAUGCAUGGAGUGUGGGGAGCAAUAUGAGGUAUCUAGAUGUUAGUCAAAACAAUCUCUCGGGUAAUAUUCCCACAUCAUUGGGGGUAUUAAUUUCACUGGAAGUAUUAAAGCUCAACAACCUUGACGGUGAAAUUCCAAAUUCCUUGCAAAAUUGUUCUCAGUUGACGAGUAUUGAUCUUGGAGACAACAAGUUAUUUGGCAAAAUAUCACAGUGGAUAGGAGGAUUAAAUGUAUCCAUGUUGAAUAUGAUACGAUUACGGUCCAACAAAUUUAGUGGACAUAUAUCCCAGCAACUGUGCAAUCUUCAACAACUUCAUAUCCUCGACCUUAGUCACAACAACAUUUCAGGUACUAUUCCCAAGUGUUUGGGUAAUUUGGCUUCACUGGUCAAUGAUUCAUAUACAUCGUUUGAUACUUCUUAUGACUCUGAUGAGCAAACCACACUGACACUAAAAGGAAGGGAACUUGUGUACAAUAAUACUAUAUAUCUUGUAAAGAGUAUUGAUCUUUCAUCAAAUACUUUACAAGGUGAAAUCCCUGAAGAAAUAAGUAGCCUCAUUCUAUUGGGUACCUUGAACUUGUCUAGGAAUCAAUUGACUGGAAAGAUCCCUUCCGAGAUCGAAAACUUGCAUUGGCUCAAAACAUUUGAUCUCUCACACAACCACCUUUCAGGACAGAUUCCUCAAAGCUUGUCAUCUUUAACCUCAUUAUCCCACUUGAACUUGUCUUACAACAACUUGUUUGGAAGAAUUCCUUCAGGAAACCAGCUUCAAACGCUCAUUGAUCUGUCCAUUUAUAUGGAAAAUCCAUCGCUAUGCGGCGUUCCUCUCUCAACUAAGUGCCCUGGAGAUGACACUUUCCCAUCUAAGGAUACAAAAGACAUGAAUGAAGGUGGAAAUGAUGAGUUGUGGUUCUAUAUCAGCAUGGUACUUGGCUUUAUUGUAGGCUUUUGGGGGGUUUGCGGCACAUUGAUCUUAAAGACAUCAUGGAGGUAUGCAUAUUUUCAGUUCUUCGACAACAUCAAAGACAAGACCGCCGAUUUAACGAGACGACUCAGACCUCUGCAACGGUCGACUGUUCUCAUUCCGCUCCAUCUCCGAAGAUCAGAAUCCGAGAAGAGCAAGAGAUAUCUCCAAAAUGACGUCGUUUAAGAAAUUGGAUCAUCGGCAGAGCACUACCACACUUGUAGAGAGAAGCAAAAUGUUGGCUGCUAAGGUCGGAAAAAUCCAUAAAGCCAGAAUUCGGCGUAGGACAGAAAACUCAACAUGCUCACGUGGUGUGGAACCGCAAUUCUGGGUUCUUCUGCUGGUUUUAAGGUCUUGUGGUGGUGAUUUAUUUACUUCUGACCUUCUUUUUCGAUAUUUUAAACAGUUGGUGUCUCAAGUUUUAAGGUUUAUACAGAAAGUGACACUGCCAAAGCUGAUGCUGGGAUCGGGUAAUUGUAGUUUUAAAUUUGUGCAAUUUCAUUUCGAUUAUCGAAUGUUAUGGUUUUAAUCAAUGUCUAAGUUGUUUUAGAACUAAAAUCAACUAAGCCUUCCUUCCAGAAUUUAAAUCUUGGGAUUUUUAUUUGUAUGCAAACUGUGCUAACAAUUCAAAUAGAAUGGGAGCAUUGUACAAUGAUGUCGCUAAGUAGAGGCCAAAAAGUAUUAGAUAUUAGCUGUAUCUGCCCACUUCCUGCAAGUUCUUGGCAAUUGCCUAGAUUGUUCGGGGGAAUUAUAUCUGUGUGCUGCGUUUAAUUUCGGUAGUGAUGCAACAGUUAACAAAGUAUCGGCUGUGGAGAAUGCAGCUUCUUUAAAGGCUGGUUUGAAAUGUAUGGAGAAGCAAAAAGGCAUACUUGGUAGUUCUUGCAGCAAAUGCAAAUGUUGGAAGAAGAGCAUUGGCCGAUGUCUGCAAUGGCAAAAGCAACUCUUCUAGGAUUGUUGGGGGUGAUGCCUCUAAAAGAAAGAGCGGUUAAGGGUUUCAGUGGGUACAGGCGUUAAGACUGUGAAUUUAUCAUCAAGGAUAUCCCUUGCUGGGAAAAGGGCGGGAAAGCUUUAAUACUUCAGAAAUGCUGGUAUGGUUUCCCGGAUUCAAUUGUACCAUUUGAAAUUUUUUUUAUUAUGGAUAAACUGUAGCUAUUAAAGAGUUGAAGGCACCUUCAGAGAAUCAAAGGACCAAGGCUAUGGGUCUAAACCGUGAAUCUAUUGUUACUGAUGGCAGGUCUGAGCCACCUUUGUUUUCCGUCUUUAUAAGAAAUUAGAAAUUGUGCCGCAAUUUGUUUGUUGUGCUUUUGAAAUAUUCUAAUCCGGCUCAUAUGCUUAUGAAACUAAACAUAUAAAGACCCUUGAUUAAACUUAUAACUUUUUUUUCAGGAGGACUUCAAAUACUUCACUUAAGCUGAUAACGUGUCUGACCUGCAGACAUGUUUGUUUAUUUACUGUGGAUAAGAUCUGUAUCUGUUAUUGAUAUAUUUUCUAUUUCCUCUCUCCAUUUUAAAGGAGAUCAUUGCUGGUGCUAAAGGUCAACCCAGAGGAAGCAAGUAUUCCGAAGG